GGGGUCAUAGCUCAGUUGGUAGAGCGCUACAAUGGCAUUGUAGAGGUCAG
rnacentral:tRNA from 1 species